rnacentral:rRNA from 1 species
GAUAUUGGACAAUAUGCGCAAGCAUGAUCCAACCAUGCCGCGGGCAGGAAGAAUGCCCUCUGGGUUGUAAAAUGCUUUUAUACAGGAAGAAACACCCCCUCGUGAGGGGGCUUGACGGUACUGUAAGAAUAAGGAUCGGCUAACUCCGUGCCAGCAGCCGCGGUAAUACGGAGGAUCCAAGCGUUAUCCGGAAUCAUUGGGUUUAAAGGGUCCGUAGGUGGAUAAUUAAGUCAGAGGUGAAAGUCUGCAGCUCAACUGUAGAAUUGCCUUUGAUACUGGUUAUCUUGAGUCAUUAUGAAGUGGUUAGAAUAUGUAGUGUAGCGGUGAAAUGCAUAGAUAUUACAUAGAAUACCAAUUGCGAAGGCAGAUCACUAAUAAUGUAGUGACACUGAUGGACGAAAGCGUGGGGAGCGAACAGGAUUAGAUACCAUGGUAGUCCACGCCGUA